AUCGCUUCUCGGCCUUUUGGCUAAGAUCAAGUGUAGUAUCUGUUCUUAUCAGUUUAAUAUCUGAUACGUCCUCUAUCCGAGGACAAUAUAUUAAAUGGAUUUUUGGAACAGGGAGAUGGAAUAGGAGCUUGCUCCCGUCCACUCCACGCAUUCGACCCGGUAAUUGCAGUACUUUCCGGGAAACGGUGCACCUCCC
rnacentral:snRNA from 1 species